rnacentral:lncRNA from 1 species
CUCCAGUGUGAGUAGUUCGGUAAGGUAUGGGUCGAUGCUUAGGCCUUGCAACCCAGUGUAUUUGUUGUGGGGAUCAAUGUAAGAGCUUUGAAUUAACGUCCCGUAUGUGUGACAUAAAAUUGUUUCAUACAUAUCUCUUGUCUUGUCUGCGUUCUUCAUCCCUCAGGUACUCAGGACCACACAGAGCGAGCCACAGUGAGGCUAGGAACAAGAAGAAUGUGAAGUGUUAUUUUGAACACCAACGAUAGAAGGAUUUAAUAUGGUAACACGCAUCCAAUCCUUAGGGAUUCAAGAGGUGUAAUGAUUAAGAACCCAAAGCUCUUGUCUAAUUAUUAUAAUCUUAAUUAUCGAUGCAACCC